CAGGGGUGCUAGCGUUGUUCGGAAUUACUGGGCGUAAAGGGCGCGUAGGCGGUCAUGCAAGUCAGGGGUGGAAUCCCGGAGCUUAACUCCGGAAUUGCUUUUGAUACUGCUUGGCUAGAGUAUGUUAGAGGAAAUCGGAAUUCCUAGUGUAGAAGUGAAAUUCGUAGAUAUUAGGAAGAACACCGGUGGCGAAGGCGGAUUUCUGGGACAUAACUGACGCUGAGGCGCGAAAGCGUGGGGAUCAAACAGGAUUAGAUACCCUGGUAGUCCACGCCGUAAACGAUGGAUACUCGCUGUUGCUGGUAAUCAAUCCGGCAGCGGCUUAGCUAACGCAUUAAGUAUCCCGCCUGGGAAGUACGGUCGCAAGAUUA
rnacentral:rRNA from 1 species